GACUACACUCCCAGAAUAUAAUUUGCAAGAGAAAAGCAACUCUCAGUACACCAAAUACAAGGUCGGAAAGGCAGACUACACAUCCCAGAAUAUAAUUUGCAAGAGAAAAGCAACUCUCAGUACACCAGAUACAAGGUCAGAAAGGCAGACCACACAUCCCAGAAUAUAAUUUGCAAGAGAAAAGCAACUCUCAGUACACCAGAUACAAGGUCGGAAAGGCAGACUACACAUCCCAGAAUAUAAUUUGCAAGAGAAAAGGGACCCUCAGUACACCAAAUACAAGGUCGGAAAGGCAGACUACACAUCCCAGAACAUAAUUUGCAAGAGAAAAGGGACCCUCAGUACACCAAAUACAAGGUCGGAAAGGCAGACUACACAUCCCAGAAUAUAAUUUGCAAGAGAAAAGCAACCCUCAGUACACCAAAUACAAGGUCGGAAAGGCAGACCACACAUCCCAGAAUAUAAUUUGCAAGAGAAAAAGGACCCUCAGUACACCAAAUACAAGGUCGGAAAGGCAGACCACACAUCCCAGAACAUAAUUUGCAAGAGAAAAGGGACCCUCAGUACACCAGAUACAAGGUCGGAAAGGCAGACUACACAUCCCAGAAUAUAAUUUGCAAGAGAAAAGCAACCCUCAGUACACCAGAUACAAGGUCGGAAAGGCAGACCACACAUCCCAGAACAUAAUUUGCAAGAGAAAAGCAACUCUCAGUACACCAAAUACAAGGUCGGAAAGGCAGACUACACUCCCAGAAUAUAAUUUGCAAGAGAAAAGCAACCCUUAGUACACCAGAUACAAGGUCACUUUUCCCCUGCAACUUGUUUUUUGUUCUUCCUGGAAUGAGUUGCCUGCCUCUCCCAGUGCAAACUUAAAAACUGGCUCUGUCCCUUACGCCCCUUCUCCGCUGGAUGCCUCAAAUGAUGUGCCAUGCUGUGCUCAGUGUGUCCUCUUUGCUAACAUGGGAAAGCAACUGUGUUCAGGAUUGUGUAUGUUUAGUGAUGCAAGUGAAGUGUCCACCUUUUUACUGUAUAUCUAUCUUUUUUUGCUUUUUGUUUGUCAAUAUGUAUCUCUUUUUUUUCCUCUGUGUAUCACUUUAUAUCCUUCUUCAUGUCUCCAUCAGUCUAUACAUUUUUCUAUCAAUCAUAUAUUUUUUUUGUCCAUUUAUAUAUAUGUCCAUUAUUUUCAUUCGUCAAUCUGUAUCUCCUUUUAUCUUUGUCAGUCUAUCUUUUUUUCUUUUGUCUGCCAAUGUAUAUCAUUUUUUCUUUACCUGUCAGUCCAUAUCUCCAUUUUUCUGUAUCUGUUCAUCUAUACAUAAUUUUUGUCUUGCAACUGUCCUGGCAAGCGCAGGGAAUCAGAGCCGAGUUGAAGCAUAAAUGUGCCAUCAUGCCGGCUUUAGUAUACGGUCCUGAGAGGGUGAAUUUGUCCCUCGCUGCACAUCCAGAAACUUGAAACAGGAAAUGCAGCAGACAAGAGUUCAGGAGUCCAUCUGCAGCGUGGAUAAAUGUAGCCAUAUUUGAUAGAGAAUGUGUGUGUGUGUGUGUGUGUGUGUGUGUGUGUGUGUGUGUGUGUGUGUGUGUGUGUUGAGACUCGGGUAAAGCCAGUACCACUUCCCAACAUCUUUAUAUUUACAUCACUUCAGAAAUUGUACCCCAGGAUCCUGUAUGAUGGGUCUGUUUUGAUCCAGUCAGCCACAGUCUUUUGCCCUCCCUUCAUGGACCAGCUUGUCUGAGCCAUGACGAAAAGUUGCUAGUGACGAUCAAGGUGAAAUUAUAAGGUUUCAGAGUACCUAAGCAUUUACACCUCUUCCUUCCUUCAACCUUUUUGGAAGAGGAUAGACAUGGAGACACAGAAGUGCAUGCAGUAAUCUAAUUUUGUAUGACAUGUGUGAAGGUUGAGUUUGCCUUCACUUGUCUUUUCAAACUCUCAAAGAACAUCCUGGGCCAUCACUGCCUUGCCGAGCCUUGCGUUGCCUUCACCGUCUGCCUGACUGGCUUUUCCCGACGCCCAACACACUGGCAUGCACGCUGUCCCUUCCCGUCACCCCAUCGAAGGCCUCUAGUCAGAUACGUUUAGUGUGGUUAUCACUUCUGUUUAAAGGAAUAUUUGCUAUGUUGUUCUUCCAUACAAAGGUUUAUAUAUUGAAGAUUUCUAGUGUCAUGUGUGGCUGGUUUUGAAAUGCCAGCUUAAUACAUUUUCCUUGAAGUUGUUGCGUUGAAUGCUUUUAACUAAAGCUAAAUUGGUUAGACAUGAGAUAUAUAUUUGCAUUUAUGUUAUGUAGUGUAGGUGCACCAGGGCUCAUCACCACACUGCAGCCCAUCAAGUGUGUGUGUGUGGGGUGUAUCUUGUGUGUCUGGUGGCUGAAGAAUAUUAUACUGAUGUCUCUUAAUAUGCACCAAUAUUCUAAUGCUAGGGAGUGUUUUGUGUAUUCAUGAUGCACAAGAUGUACUCCCAGUUAGUUUUAUAGUCUUCAUUCUGGAGUUUCAAUACGUUUUCUAAACAUGGAUUGUAAAUAGAUAUGUUUAAUAUAUUAUGCAAGUUUA